rnacentral:rRNA from 1 species
AUUAAACGCUGGCGGCAUGCCUUACACAUGCAAGUCGAACGGCAGCAUGGGUGCUUGCACCUGAUGGCGAGUGGCGGACGGGUGAGUAAUACAUCGGAACGUGCCCUGAAGUGGGGGAUAACGCAGCGAAAGCUACGCUAAUACCGCAUAUUCUGUGAGCAGGAAAGCAGGGGAUCGCAAGACCUUGCGCUUUGGGAGCGGCCGAUGUCGGAUUAGCUAGUUGGUGGGGUAAAGGCCUACCAAGGCGACGAUCCGUAGCGGGUCUGAGAGGAUGAUCCGCCACACUGGGACUGAGACACGGCCCAGACUCCUACGGGAGGCAGCAGUGGGGAAUUUUGGGACAAUGGGCGGAAGCCUGAUCCAGCCAUGCCGCGUGAGUGAAGAAGGCCUUCGGGUUGU